rnacentral:rRNA from 1 species
AACGCGAAGAACCUUACCUGGCCUUGACAUCUGUCGAAUCCUGCAGAGAUGCGGGAGUGCCUUCGGGAACGACAAGACAGGUGCUGCAUGGCUGUCGUCAGCUCGUGUCGUGAGAUGUUGGGUUAAGUCCCGCAACGAGCGCAACCCUUGUCCUUAGUUGUCAUCAUUCAGUUGGGAACUCUAAGGAGACCGCCGGUGACAAACCGGAGGAAGGUGGGGAUGACGUCAAGUCAUCAUGGCCUUUAUGGCCAGGGCUACACACGUGCUACAAUGGCAGGUACAGAGGGAAGCCAACGCGCGAGCGGGAGCCAAUCCCAGAAAGCCUGUCGUAGUCCGGAUCGGAGUCUGCAACUCGACUCCGUGAAGUCGGAAUCGCUAGUAAUCGCAGAUCAGCAUUGCUGCGGUGAAUACGUUCCCGG